rnacentral:piRNA from 1 species
UGCCUAGGCGGGACGCUGGGCAGAGCCCUG